GUCGAACGAUACCUUCGGGUAUAGUGGCGCACGGGUGAGUAACACGUGGGAAUAUACCUUUCAGUGGGGGGUAACAUCGGGAAACUGAUGCUAAUACCGCAUACGCCCUUAGGGGGAAAGAUUUAUCGCUGAAAGAUUAGCCCGCGUCCGAUUAGCUAGUUGGUGAGGUAAUGGCUCACCAAGGCGACGAUCGGUAGCUGGUCUGAGAGGAUGACCAGCCACACUGGGACUGAGACACGGCCCAGACUCCUACGGGAGGCAGCAGUGGGGAAUAUUGGACAAUGGGCGCAAGCCUGAUCCAGCCAUGCCGCGUGAGUGAUGAAGGCCUUAGGGUUGUAAAGCUCUUUCGACGGGGACGAUGAUGACGGUACCCGUAGAAGAAGCCCCGGCUAACUUCGUGCCAGCAGCCGCGGUAAUACGAAGGGGGCUAGCGUUGUUCGGAAUUACUGGGCGUAAAGCGCACGCAGGCGGUUCGAUUAG
rnacentral:rRNA from 1 species